UACGUAGGGUGCGAGCGUUGUCCGGAAUUAUUGGGCGUAAAGGGCUCGUAGGCGGUUUGUCACGUCGGGAGUGAAAACUCGGGGCUUAACUCCGAGCCUGCUUCCGAUACGGGCUGACUAGAGGUAUGCAGGGGAGAACGGAAUUCCUGGUGUAGCGGUGAAAUGCGCAGAUAUCAGGAGGAACACCAAUAGCGAAGGCAGCUCGCUGGGACGUUACUGACACUGAGGCGCGAAAGCGUGGGGAGCGAACAGG
rnacentral:rRNA from 1 species